AGAAUCAACGCUGGCGGCGUGCCUCAGACAUGCAAGUCGAACGCGAAAGUCCCCUUCGGGGGCAAGUAGAGUGGCGCACGGGUGAGUAACACGUAGGUAAUCUACCUUUGGAUGGGGAAUAACAACCGGAAACGGUUGCUAAUACCGCAUAAUGCAGCGGCACCUAAUGGUGACAGUUGUUAAAGCGGGGGAUCGAAAGACCUCGCGUCUAAAGAGGAGCCUGCGGCGGAUUAGCUAGUUGGUAAGGUAAUGGCUUACCAAGGCUACGAUCCGUAACC
rnacentral:rRNA from 1 species